AGCGAACGCUGGCGGCAGGCCUAACACAUGCAAGUCGAGCGAAGCCUUCGGGCUUAGCGGCGGACGGGUGAGUAACGCGUGGGAACGUGCCCUUUGGUACGGAAUAGCCCCGGGAAACUGGGAGUAAUACCGUAUGUGGUCGAGAGACGAAAGAUUUAUCGCCAAAGGAUCGGCCCGCGUUGGAUUAGGUAGUUGGUGGGGUAAUGGCCUACCAGGCCGACGAUCCAUAGCUGGUUUGAGAGGAUGAUCAGCCACACUGGGACUGAGACACGGCCCAGACUCCUACGGGAGGCAGCAGUGGGGAAUCUUAGACAAUGGGGGAAACCCUGAUCUAGCCAUGCCGCGUGAUCGAUGAAGGCCUUAGGGUUGUAAAGAUCUUUCAGUGGGGAAGAUAAUGACUGUACCCACAGAAGAAGCCCCGGCUAACUCCGUGCCAGCCGCCGCCGUAAAAC
rnacentral:rRNA from 1 species